rnacentral:lncRNA from 1 species
UGACAGUGUACCACUGAGCUACACCCCCAGCACUUCACUGGAGUUUUUAUGAAAAACAUCUGUGGUUACCACUGAUUCAAUAAUUCUCCUUUCUAAGCCAUGAAUCAACACAGGAAACGACAUGAAGUCUUCCAACGACAUUCCUCUCAGCUUUGCUACAGCACAGCUGUCCGGGUUGGGUGUGCACGCAGAUGCCAGCACCUCUCACACGGUGGACGUGGUGAACCCGUGUCCAGCCCUAUCAACGAGGCCAGGUCCAAGGUGUUUGCCCACAGUCCUGGUGAUGUCCCAGGCCUGACCCCCAUGGAGCGGUGGGGCGGUGCGGCAGCCUCCCGCCACCAGGAGUCGCCCUUGCC